rnacentral:lncRNA from 1 species
ACCCGAACAAUCACUUGAUUAUCGUGCGAACAGUUACCAUAUCUAUCUGAGUUUCUUCGGAUCUCACGGAUGCGGCAAAGAGAUAAGUCAGAUUUGCCCUUGCCCGUUUUGUCCUAUAAAGAGUUCCUUCUCGGGUACUCCUUCCCCAUCGCAUCAUUCCAUAACUCCAACUCCACUUUCCCGGGGCGUCAUCCAAAAGCUCCAAGAUCUCCGACGAAGCCCCUUCUUCACCAACUCUAAAACUCUCAAGCAUCUCCUCCGUGGCAAAAUGGCCGUCAACUUCAUCAUCCCUGAAGUCAGUCCUUCGCACCAUCUCUUGUACUUUUUCCUGUACCCUUGUUCACCUGCAGUCCGCCGUACUGAAUACUUUUCCCCCUUC